UUCCGGUUGAUCCUGCCGGACCCGACUGCUAUCGGAGUGGGACUAAGCCAUGCGAGUCGACGUAGCAAUGCGUGGCGAACGGCUCAGUAACACGUAGUCAACAUGCCCAGGGGACGUGGAUAACCUCGGGAAACUGAGAAUAAACCACGAUAGGUCACGAUUUCUGGAAUGGAUCAUGGCCUAAAUCUACAUGGCCCCUGGAUUGGACUGCGGCCGAUCAGGCAGUUGGUGAGGUAAUGGCCCACCAAACCUAUAACCGGUACGGGCUCUGAGAGGAGAAGCCCGGAGAUGGGCACUGAGACAAGGGCCCAGGCCCUAUGGGGCGCAGCAGGCGCGAAACCUCUGCAAUAGGCGAAAGCCUGACAGGGUUACUCUGAGUGAUUUCCGCUAAGGGGAUCUUUUGGCACCUCUAAAAAUGGUGCAGAAUAAGGGGUGGGCAAGUCUGGUGUCAGCCGCCGCGGUAAUACCAGCACCCCGAGUGGUCGGGACGAUUAUUGGGCCUAAAGCAUCCGUAGCCGGUUCUGCAAGUCUUCCGUUAAAUCCAGCCGCUCAACGGAUGGGCCGCGGAGGAUACUACAGGACUAGGAGGCGGGAGAGGCAAGCGGUACUCAGUGGGUAGGGGUAAAAUCCUUUGAUCCAUUGAAGACCACCAGUGGCGAAGGCGGCUUGCCAGAACGCGCUCGACGGUGAGGGAUGAAAGCUGGGGGAGCAAACCGGAUUAGAUACCCGGGUAGUCCCAG
rnacentral:rRNA from 1 species